rnacentral:rRNA from 1 species
CACGUAGGGUGCGAGCGUUGUCCGGAAUUAUUGGGCGUAAAGAGCUCGUAGGCGGUGUGUCGCGUCGGCCGUGAAAACCUGCAGCUUAACUGUGGGCGUGCGGUCGAUACGAGCAUCACUGGAGUUCGGCAGGGGAGACUGGAAUUCCUGGUGUAGCGGUGAAAUGCGCAGAUAUCAGGGGGAACACCGGUGGCGAAGGCGGGUCUCUGGGCCGAUACUGACGCUGAGGAGCGAAAGCGUGGGGAGCGAACAGG